GGGCCAUAGCUCAGUGGUAGAGCAUCUGUCUUGCAAGCAGAAGGCCACAGUUUUAGUCCCCAGCAUCUCCA